GUCUUGCGCUGCAGGUACUGGGGAAGAACAACAGACCCCACGAUUACAAAGUUUGCGCCUUAACAUUUUAGAUCUGGUGUUUUCUUACUAUGGGUACAUUU